rnacentral:lncRNA from 1 species
UGCCCCUGGGUGACACACCUGAUCCCACACACAAAGGAAACUCUGGUCAGAGAUGGCAGCCCCUGCGGGUUCCCAUCCACACCAGGAACACAAUGCCCACUCCUGACCCUCUGAGCUCAUGAUUACCAGCCUAGUGGAAGAACAGUAACCAGGUCAUGAGUCUCCAUUUCAGAACCCUGUCAUGGUUCUAGGAUGGAACAGCAUCACUAGUUUCUAGGCUGAGUCGGGGCCUGCAGCUCAGCCGAAUGGGAGGCCAUCACAUUGCACGCUGUACACUUGGUGAUGAGGACCCCUGGCGUAGGUGGUUAUGGGGUGUGUGUGUCCGCAGAGAAACAUCAAAGAGGCCCACAAGGGCACCGGGAGACCUCCCUUGGGUGUGGUGAAGGUGCUGAGGAUCUCUCCCGCCGCCGGGCCUGUGCACAACUACAGCAUCCAGACCCUGAACUCCUCAGAGCUGGCCAGGAAGGAGCUAUGCCGAGAGAUGGCCAAGGAGCCUCGGAGGAGAUUAGCGUACUCACAUCGAUACCUGUCAGCCAUGGUGGUGCCUCGGGACCCCGAGGAAGAGGAGAAGACAGCGCAGGAGAAGUCCCGCCAGGCCUGGCUCACGGCCAGCGGGUUCCGGGUGGCCGGUCUUCAGAAGAGCACCGAAGGCCACCACCAGGACUUCAGGCUGCCACCUGUCUCAGAGCUGAAAGAGGAGUGGACGGAGGGCGCCCUGUUCACCAAUGUGCUAAGGCCCACGCUGGACCGUGAGAGAUGGGGCUGGGACAGGCGCCACCUGGACUUCGAGCUGUACAAGCGGCCCCCACCUUUCGUGGAAGCAGAGCCUCCAAAAGCCAUGAGAGGCUGCCGACCCACGACUCAUGGCGCAGGGCCUGUCUCCCAGGGCAGAGGCACAGGAGCCCCUGCAGAGCUGCACCACCUGACUCCUCACUUUUCUGGCCACCGCCUCCAUUAA